GAUGAACGCUGGCGGCGUGCCUAAUACAUGCAAGUCGAGCGAACAGAUGAGGAGCUUGCUCCUCUGACGUUAGCGGCGGACGGGUGAGUAACACGUGGAUAACCUACCUAUAAGACUGGGAUAACUUCGGGAAACCGGAGCUAAUACCGGAUAAUAUAUUGAACCGCAUGGUUCAAUAGUGAAAGACGGUUUUGCUGUCACUUAUAGAUGGAUCCGCGCCGCAUUAGCUAGUUGGUAAGGUAACGGCUUACCAAGGCAACGAUGCGUAGCCGAACUGAGAGGGUGAUCGGCCACACUGGAACUGAGACACGGUCCAGACUCCUACGGGAGGCAGCAGUAGGGAAUCUUCCGCAAUGGGCGAAAGCCUGACGGAGCAACGCCGCGUGAGUGAUGAAGGUCUUCGGAUCGUAAAACUCUGUUAUUAGGGAAGAACAAAUGUGUAAGUAACUAUGCACGUCUUGACGGUACCUAAUCAGAAAGCAACGGCUAACUACGUG
rnacentral:rRNA from 1 species